rnacentral:rRNA from 1 species
CCAUGCAUGGUCUAAGUAUAAGCAACUAUACGGUGAAACUGCGAAUGGCUCAUUAAAUCAGUUAUCGUUUAUUUGAUAGUACCCUACUACAUGGAUAACCGUGGUAAUUCUAGAGCUAAUACAUGCUAAAAACCCCGACUCACGAAGGGGUGUAUUUAUUAGAUAAAAAACCAAUGCCCUCCGGGGCUCCUUGGUGAAUCAUAAUAACUUAACGAAUCGCAUGGCCUUGCGCCGGCGAUGGUUCAUUCAAAUUUCUGCCCUAUCAACUUUCGAUGGUAGGAUAGUGGCCUACCAUGGUUUCAACGGGUAACGGGGAAUUAGGGUUCGACUCCGGAGAGGGAGCCUGAGAAACGGCUACCACAUCCAAGGAAGGCAGCAGGCGCGCAAAUUACCCAAUGCCGACACGGCGAGGUAGUGACAAUAAAUACUGAUACAGGGCUCUUUCGGGUCUUGUAAUUGGAAUGAGUACAAUUUAAAUACCUUAACGAGGAACAAUUGGAGGGCAAGUCUGGUGCCAGCAGCCGCGGUAAUUCCAGCUCCAAUAGCGUAUAUUAAAGUUGUUGCAGUUAAAAAGCUCGUAGUUGAACCUUGGGCCUGGCUGGCCGGUCCGCCUCACCGCGUGCACUGGUUCGGCCGGGCCUUUCCUUCUGGGGAGCCGCAUGGCCUUCACUGGCCGUGUCGGGGAACCAGGACUUUUACUUUGAAAAAAUUAGAGUGUUCAAAGCAGGCCUUUGCUCGGAUACAUUAGCAUGGAAUAAUAGAAUAGGACGUGCGGUUCUAUUUUGUUGGUUUCUAGGACCGCCGUAAUGAUUAAUAGGGAUAGUCGGG